AUUGAACGCUGGCGGCAGGCCUAACACAUGCAAGUCGAGCGAGCGGCGGACGGGUGUGUAAUGUAUGGGGACUGCCCGAUAGAGGGGGAUAACUACUGGAAACGGUGGCUCAUACCGCAUACUAUUGGCUAACCCCUAUGGGAUUAGCUAGUAGGUGGGGUAAAGGCUUACCUAGGCGACGAUCUCUAGCUGGUCUGAGAGGAUGAUCAGCCACACUGGGACGGAGAAACGGCCCAGAAUCCAAGGGAGGCAGCGGUGGGGAAUAUUGGACAAGGGGCGCAAGCCUGAUGCAGCCAUGCCGGGUGUAUGAAGAAGGCCUUAGGGUUGUAGAGUACUUUCAGCGGGGAGGCGUUACCCGCAGAAGAAGCACCGGCUAACUCCGUGCCAGCAGCCGCGGUAAUUC
rnacentral:rRNA from 1 species